GCUCUUCGCCCCCGGUGCUGGGCUCUGUGUCCCUGCGAGCCCCGCUGACUUGUGCUCUUCUAUCGCCCCGCCUCGCAGCGAAUAUCUGGUAAAUUUGUCCUCAGCUGAAGGAGAAGCCCAUCGGCUCCUGCCCGCAUGGAAGGAGUGCCGAGAGGACGAGCUGCAAUCCAGUGCCAGCUGAAACCCCCGUUCCCAUCUCGCACCUGACACCCCGCGGGGGCGGACCCCCACCGCGGCCCGACUGCCGGACCGCCCCCCAUGAAAACGCGGCUCCUGCCAAAAAUCACGUCUCCUGGGAGGGGUCGGAGGAUAUAUUUGCCGGAAGAUACUAGGAAUGAAGGAAAAACAGCUGGUAAAGAGGAGCUGGAAAGCUCUGUGUAUUUGUCUCCGAUUAGCAUGAACACCUCUCCCCACCCCCCUUUUAAUUUUAGAGGUUAAAACCAGAGUAUAUUUCCUCAGCAGGUACCUAAAGGAAAAACCUUGAUGUUUGCUCUGCCGGUUUGUUCUGUCGGCCCCUUUGCAUUUUGUGUAUUUAUUCCUCACAAGUAGCUAUUAUCGCUGUUAAUGAUUGUAGAAAUGUAAAAAAAUAUUUUUAAAAAUGUGAAUUCGUAGCCUGCUAGCAGAGAGCGCUCCUCACUCUCCUGGCAAUUAAAUUAAGGGUGUCGAUUUGGGUUAGGGAGCAUCCUUCAAUUUUAAGGGAAAAGUGCUUCAAGUCAAGAAUGCCUUUUCUGUUUUGUUGUCUGUUUGUUUGUUUUCUCUUUUUUUCGAAGGCUUUUCCUUUUUAGUAUUUAAGUCAUGCUGGAAGAACACAUUUCUCCUCCGUGCUCUUUUAGGCUAUCCCUCCCUUGAAAACUCCAGAUGGGAGGGAAACAGGCACACAUAAUUUGGAAGGUUUUGUUAUUUUUAAAAAAAGUUUGUCAUGCUGCAACCAUUAUUCCGAGGAUUCUGCGAGGUUUUCAUUUACCGGCUUUCAGGGCUCCUUUCUUCAUAUUGCAGCCGGCCCAACGCGAGACUCCAGAGAAAAAUAAUUUUAAAAAAGACCAAAAACAAGCAAAACCAAAAAGAAUAAAAAUAUAAAGCAACCUUCCUCCUUUCCUCCCCCUCACCCCAAAAAUAAGUUGCACCCCAAUCAGGCUUCUCUUGGGGAGUCAAAUUACCCCUCUUCCCAUUGGGACGCAUUCAUUUUUCGCAGUCAUUUUAUCUGCCGGAACUUUAGGACAAAGCUAUUUUCCAGAGGAAAUUUCCACUCCUGCUGCCGCCUCACACCAGAGGGCGCCAGGAGCCUUCCCAGGCUUUGCUGCCUCAAGAGCUGCUGGAAAUUAACUCUUUGGGUACUUUCCUUUAAUGUUUUCCUAACCUUUCCCUUUUAAAAUAUACAACUGGAUUCUGACUUUUUUUUUCCCCCUAUAAAAUGCGUAUUGCUUUGUUUUGGUUUGGGUUUGUAAGAUUUUUUUCCCUGUCCUUGUAGUACCUUUUCCUAGCUCUUCUAGGCCUUCACCCUCCUGCAGCGUUCCCCCAGGACUCUCAGAUGUACAACUUCACUCUGUCUCUGCUAGCUUGAUUUUAAUUAAGUCACUGGAUCACGUUUGCGUGACAUUACCGUGUUGUCCCUUAUAAACUUCUGGGAUGAAACUUGUCUUGGCUGUGUUUAAACUUAAAGAGUCACUUAGGGCACUUCAUGCAGAACACCAAAUCAUGGCACCAAAGGUGAAACAGGUUGGUGAGGCCCUGGCACAGGUUGCCCAAAGAAGCUGUGACUGCCUCAUCCCUGGAAGUGUUCACAGCCAGGAUUUGGAGCAACCUGGACUAGUAAAGAGUGUCCCAGCCCACAUAUGCACAGUAUAAGGUCUCCAACAGAGCUUAUCGUUCCAAAUAAACUACUAAAAUGGAAGAUAAACAGUAAGAAAGAGAAGAAUAAACUAAAUAUUAGUAUAUGUAAUUUCCAUGUUUCCUGUAGACUUUUGUCAAGAAGCUAGAUAUGAUUUUGCUAUUCACAUCUGAGGAUCAACAGAAAUGCAAAAUGCAUGAUCCAAAUAAUUAUUAAAAAAAUCUGAGCAUAAAGCAUAAAAAACGAACAAAGUAAAACAUUUUGAUUCUGGAGGCUGGUGGGAAAACUCAGUUGAAGAUAAAUGUUUGUCCUUGUGCUAUUUAAAUUAAAAUAUGGAUUUAAAAUA